ACCACAUAUAUAUCGGAAAAGCUGCAAAUUGCAGCCUUAUCACUCAGCAUGGCUUUCAACAAAUUAGCACCUGCGGUAGGGUUCGUGGUAGCGCUGACGGCGUUCCGCCUCACGAGUGUUGGAGCUUCGGCGCCACCAGGCAACUGCACAAGGGAAUGCGGUGGGCUGGAGAUCCCUUACCCGUUUGGCAUCGACCUCGAGGAUGGCUGCCAAUUUUCUGACCGCCGGCAAGGCUUCAAGCUACGCUGCCUAGACCACGGCCAGGUCCGGUGGCUGAACAACAUCUCCUCCUACUGCUACAACGCCACCGCCGGGAAAAUGGAGGUCAACAGCCCGCCGUCCAACAUGGACCUGGAGGGCUCCGUCUUCCGGCUCUCAUCACGUCGUACGCCGCCGUGUGCGGGGCCACGUGCAAGGACGGCAACCUCUCGCUGCUGACCAACGGCUCCUGUGAGGGGAUCGGCUGCUGCCGGACGGCGAUCCCGAGGGGGCUGGAGAACUACCGGGUGUGGUUCGACAAGAGCUUCAGCAGCCGCAGCUGUAGCUACGCGGCGCUCGUCGAGGCGUCCAACUUCACCUUCUCGUCCGCCUACCUUUCCUCGUCGGCGUUCGUCGACGCCUACGGCGGGCAGGCGCCGCUGGUGGUGGACUGGGCUAUUGGAACGCUGCAAGGGGAGACGUGCGAGUCAGCGCGCGCCAAGCCGGAGUCCUAUGCGUGCGUCGGCAACGACAGCGUGUGCGUGGACUCGCCUAUUGGACGAGGCUACAUCUGCAAAUGCAAGGGAGGGUUCCAAGGAAAUCCUUACCUUCCAUACGGAUGCAAAGAUGUCAAUGAGUGCCUUGACCCAAAAAAUUGUGAAGGGACGUGCCACAAUAUUAUUGGAGACUUCAUCUGUUGUCCUCCGAGAACAAAAUAUGAUCCCCAAAAAAUGCAAUGCACCUCUACCAAAAAGAGAACUCUUGUCAUAGGUGUUAUUAUUGGGUUGGGUGCGGGCUUUGGAAUGUUACUUCUUGGCGUGAGUGGAAUGUCCCUCUCCUAUCGAUGGAAAAGAGGUAUCAAAAAACAAAAACGCAGGCUUUAUUUUCAGAAAAACCAAGGCCUUCUAUUGGAACAACUCAUAUUAUCAGAUGAAAAUGCAAGUGAUAGAACAAUGAUUUUCUCCUUAGAGGAGUUGGAGAAGGCAACAAACAACUUUGAUGAAACUCGGAUUGUGGGCCGUGGAGGACAUGGCAUGGUAUACAAAGGCAUCUUAUCUGACCAACGUGUGGUGGCUAUAAAAAGGUCAAAACUUGUUGAUGAAUCUGAGAUCCAUCAGUUUAUUAAUGAGGUUGUGAUCCUCUCCCAGAUAAAUCACCGAAAUAUCGUGAAGCUCUUUGGAUGUUGUCUUGAAACAGAAGUGCCCCUCUUAGUGUCUGAUUUUAUCCCUAAUGGCUCUCUAUUUGAUGUUUUGCAUGGUGAGCCAACUCAUGGGAUGAUUGUUUGAGGGUUGCUCAAGAAACCGCUGGAGCUCUCUGCUAUCUACAUACAUCUGCUUCGAUACGGUCUUUCAUCGUGAUGUGAAGUCCUCGAAUAUCUUGUUAGAUGGAAAUUUUACUGCUAAAGUUUCAGAUUUUGGUGCAUCAAGAACAGUUCCUAUUGACCAAACCCAUAUUACUACAAAUGUACAAGGAACAUUUGGAUACUUGGAUCCAGAAUAUUAUCAAACUGGGCAACUAAAUGAAAAAAGCGAUGUGUAUAGCUUUGGUGUGGUACUCGUAGAGUUACUUACAAGAAAAGAGCCUGUUUUUAGAAGUAACUCAGGUUCAAAGCAAAACUUGUCCAUCUACUUCAUCACAGAGACUAAAGCAAAGUCAGUAAGAGAGGUGGUAGCCACUCAAGUUCUUGAAGAAGCAAGUGAGGAUGAAAUUUGUAUCGUUGCCUCUCUUGCAGAGUCGUGUUUGCGUCUCCAGGGAGAAGAAAGGCCUACUAUGAAGCAAGUGGAGAGUACAUUACAAUAUUUGCGAACAAAAAGGUUGGCCUCAUGUCAUGUUGUUGAAAGGAACGAAGAGGAGAUCCAACCACUUGUCCCUAAAUUUGAACCUUUUGCAAUUCAUAUGGAUGACAAGGUCCAUUCAGAAUCAUCUAGUUCUUUCUUCAGUUCAGGGUGACAGUUUUUUUCUUUUCCUUUUGAGAAUGUCCGGGGUGAGAGUUUAUGUCAUUUGCUUAUCUGGUUCCAAAUAUCUGAAGUUGUUAGUUUGCACUUUUUUUGUAUCGUUGAGACUUAAUAAUCGUCAUGAUAUUUCUCAGUAGCGGGUUUGCAGAACAAUUCAUUACUAUGUGAAGACGGGAGUAGAAUAAUGGCUUAUUCGGCCAAACACAUGUACUGUGGUCAAGAGUGUUAGAUUUUUCUAUGGCUGUUUAUCAGCAUAUUUCUUCUUGCAAGAAUUGAGAUUAAAAAAAUUCUUCUCACUGCAUAUUUCAUGCAAGAGCUAUGACAACAUUUUGCCAUUUUUGUCUUGCUUGUAUUUGUUGUAACAAAUAACAAUGGAACUAAAAUAACUCACAGUGGUCAUUUGAAUUACAAUGUACCGUCCAAUCCGUGGAUGCCCCAUUACGUCCAUCCAAACAGACCCCCAGAACUGUGGAACGGUACAUUUUCGCUGCUACUACAGAAAAAAGUUUUUUUAAGGAUAAAAAAAAGUUUGCUUAAGCACAAUCCUAAUUCUUAACAACUUCCGUUCUCUGAAUUCGGAAGACUAAUAAGUGGCGGGAUAUAUAUAAAGCACAUGUAAUUGUGAUUUGUGCAUUGCGCCAUCAACCCUUGUGUAUGGCAGUUGUACGGGGAAAAAAACAGGGCGGAGAAUAGAACUCUGCUUAAUCAACAAGGUUCAAGUGCAUCUUAAAUGUCUUCUCAUUUUUAGAGAAUGCCAUUCGGCGAGCUUUAUUGAUUAGAUAAAGUAUAUCGUUGAUGAACAUAGCAAAAAAAUGAAACUAGGCCC